rnacentral:lncRNA from 1 species
UUGGCUGCACUCGCAGCAUGUGGAAGUUCCCGGGCCAGGAAUCAAAGCCACACCACAGCAGUGACCUGAGCUGCUGCAGUGACAAUGCCGGAUCCUCAGCCCACUUGCAAGUGGCUCCAGUUUUAGACAGGCCCCCAAACUACCCGGUCUUCCAGAUCUUCCUCGUCGGUUCCCAAUUUCCCCAGGACUUCGUGCAGAUGAGGGCAGGAAACCCUUGAGGAAGGAACGGACCAGAACAGGCACCCUCUCCUCACUGCCUGUCCUCCUGCAUCGAAGGUCCCCCCGCCCAGCUCCAGCCCAGAAAGCCUGGGGGAGGACAUGGGGGGGUGAGGGCUGGAGGCCACGGAGGAAGCCGCCGAGUUCUGACUCACCCCGUGCUCAGCGCUCAGCCCCGGGUGGGCAGGCCUGCGCGCGCGGUGAGUCACCGAGAGCCCGAAUGCUCUUCUGAGCACCGCCAAGGACACGGAUGCUCUUGCUGGCACCCUGGCACCUUCACACGUUCUCUCCUUCCCUGUUGAGCUGCCAGGAGACGAAGGCGGUAGGAACUGAGGGUUUUCAGUUUUUUAUAGCCCAAGACAGAAACUAUCUAAUGCUUUCUAUUCUUCCUGCAUCCCUUCUCAGUUCCUGGAAAUCACUGACAGAGAGUUGGACCGAGAGCCGCCUCUGAGGCAGACUCGCUGAGGAGCCAUUCUAGGGAGGGGCAGGGGAGGGCCCGGCACACCUCGUGGAAUUUCCCAAAUGAAUCACCUGGCUCUUUAUUUUGACAGAAAAUACCCAAGAAGUAUGUAACUUUAUUUUUACUUUUUGGCUUUUUUAGGGCCGCACCUGCAGCAUAUGGAAGUUCCCAGGCUAGGGGUCAAAUUGCAGCUGCAGCUGCUGGCCUACACCACAGCCACAGCCACAGCCACACGGGAUCUGAGCCACAUCUGUGACCUACGCUGCAGCUCGUGGCAAUGCCGGAUCCUUAACCCACUGAGCGAGGCCAGGGAUCGAACCUGCAUCCUUGGGGACAUGAUGUUGGGUUCUUAACCCACUGAGCCACAGUGGAAACUCCAGUUGCCAGGAAUUUAAAGACGAAUGAGCCUUUGUAAUAUCCUCACACUACUCUGUGUUAACUUACAAGACGGAAGUUAACUGCAGUAACACUACUCUGUAUUAACUUCCCACAGGGGAAAGUCAGCUGCCCUUGAGCCUCUACUGUCUGUGCCACAGACCGUGGAGGAUGGACGUUUGGAAAAGCAAAGCUCCUGCUUUAGGAAGAUGAGAAAUGCAGUUUAUUCCACCACCAAGUACUUAUAUGAGGAAGAGCACUGGGAAGUUACAGAGAUGAGGAAGGCAGCUUCCAGGAGAUUAAAUCUAGUAGGAAAGAUAAGAUACAUACAUAAAUCAUAAGUGCAAAGUAACUAAAAACAGUGCUAUCAUAUGAUCCAGCAAUCCCACUCCUGGGCAUAUAUCUGGAAAACCCUAAUUCAAAAUGAUACGUGCACCCCACUGUUCAUGGCAGCACUGUUUACAAUAGCCAAGACAUGGGAACAACCCAUGUUUCAGCAACAGAGGAAUGGAUAAAGAAAUGCAGUACAUACACACAGUGGAAUACGAGUCACGAAAAGGGAAUGAAAUGAUGCCACUUGCAGCAACACGGAGGGACCUAGAGACGAUCAUACUAAGUGAAGCCAGCCAGUCAGAGAAAGACAAAUAUCACCUGCUAUCACGUAUACGUGGAAUCUUUAAAAAAAUGAUACACAUGAACUUAUUUACAAAACAGAAACCGACUCACAGAGAUAGAAAACAAACUUAUGGGAGUUCCCACUGCGGCUCAGUGGUAACAAACCCGACUAGGAACCAUGAGGUUGCGGGUUUGAUCCCUGGCCUUGCUCAGUGGGUUAAGGAUCUGGUGUUGCUGUGAGCUGUGGUGUAGGGCGCAGACACGGCUCGGAUCCCCCAUUGCUGUGGCUCUGGCGUAGGCUGGCAGCUGUAGCUCCGACUGGACCCCUAGCCUGGGAACCUCCAUAUGCCAAGGGGGUUGAAUCGGAGCUGUAGCUGCCACCCUACACCACAGCCACAGCAACCAGGGAUCUGAGACGUGUCUACAACCGACACCAUAGCUCAUGGCAACGCCGGAACCUUAGCCCAUUGAGCGAGGCCAGGGAUCGAACCUACGUCCUCAUGAUUACUACGGGUUUCGUUACCUCUGAGCCACAAGAGGAACUCUGAGGAGAGCAUUCGGAAGGUUGGACCAACCAAAGACCUGCAUUCAGAGGAUGGAAGAAACAGAAACAAAACGGGGCAGAGCAGAAAGGAUGAGUGUGGAUUGAGUCCCCACCCCACGCUGUGCUCAGAGAUUCGCGCACACUGUUAUCCGUGAAGCAUUUUCCCCAUUUUACAGACGAGGAAACUGACUCGGGUUUGUCCACCAAACAACCCGGAGGCCACGUGAGAAACCCAAGAUCAGGAGCUGCCACUGUGGUGCAAUGGAUCAGCAGCAUCUCUGAAGCACGGGGACACAGGUUCAAUCCCUGGCCAGGGAUCCAAGGAUCCGGAGUUGCUGCAGCUGAGGCACUGGUUACAACUGUGACUUGGAUCUGACCCUUGGCCAGAGAAAUCCACAUGCCAUGGGGCAGCCAAAAAAGAAAAAGAAAAAAAAAAAAAAAAAAAAAAACCUGAGAUCAUUCUUUCCACAUCCAUCUCCAGCUCUCCCAGUCAACUGCAA